UAUGCUUCUUCGGGAGCAGAGACCGGCGCACGGGUGCGUAACGCGUAUGCAAUCUACCUUUCACAGAGGGAUAGCCCAGAGAAAUUUGGAUUAAUACCUCAUAGUAUAGCAGUUUCGCAUGAAACCACUAUUAAAGUCACAACGGUGAAAGAUGAGCAUGCGUCCCAUUAGCUAGUUGGUAAGGUAACGGCUUACCAAGGCAACGAUGGGUAGGGGUCCUGAGAGGGAGAUCCCCCACACUGGUACUGAGACACGGACCAGACUCCUACGGGAGGCAGCAGUGAGGAAUAUUGGACAAUGGGCGCAAGCCUGAUCCAGCCAUGCCGCGUGCAGGAUGACGGUCCUAUGGAUUGUAAACUGCUUUUAUACGAGAAGAAACCCUCCGACGUGUCGGAGCUUGACGGUAUCGUAAGAAUAAGGAUCGGCUAACUCCGUGCCAGCAGCCGCGGUAAUACGGAGGAUCCAAGCGUUAUCCGGAAUCAUUGGGUUUAAAGGGUCCGUAGGCGGUCAGGUAAGUCAGUGGUGAAAGCCCAUCGCUCAACGGUGGAACGGCCAUUGAUACUGUCUGACUUGAAUUAUUAGGAAGUAACUAGAAUAUGUAGUGUAGCGGUGAAAUGCUUAGAGAUUACAUGGAAUACCAAUUGCGAAGGCAGGUUACUACUAAUGGAUUGACGCUGAUGGACGAAAGCGU
rnacentral:rRNA from 1 species